rnacentral:lncRNA from 1 species
CUUCAAAUCCCAAGCCAGCUUUCAUCUCAUCCGCGGUCAACUCCCAGCUGCCAGCCGCAUCCAAGAUCUCCUCCCACGCAUUGAAGAAGUGGCGAUUUCUUCCACUCAUCCCAUGAGCUAGCAGUGUCCGAGAUCCUCUCAACAUCCACGUCUUCGCCAUCCUCUGCAUCCAAGGGAGCAACCGACUUCUUCAACGAAAUCAGUUCCCAGACUAUAAUCCCAACGCCCAGAUUAAAUCUGCUACGCAUCUCGCCCGUGUCAGUUUCUUGGCCCUUAUCUUCCCACGACGUGAUGAGAUAACAGGGGUCGACAGAGG